AAUUUAGCGGCCGCGAAUUCGCCCUUCAUGCAAGUCGAACGGAAAGGCCCUUCGGGGUACUCGAGUGGCGAACGGGUGAGUAACACGUGGGUGAUCUGCCCUGCACUUUGGGAUAAGCCUGGGAAACUGGGUCUAAUACCGAAUAUGACCAUGCUCUUCAUGGAGUGUGGUGGAAAGCUUUUGCGGUGUGGGAUGGGCCCGCGGCUAUCAGCUUGUUGGUGGGGUAAUGGCCUACCAAGGCGACGACGGGUAGCCGGCCUGAGAGGGUGACCGGCCACACUGGGACUGAGAUACGGCCCAGACUCCUACGGGAGGCAGCAGUGGGGAAUAUUGCACAAUGGGCGCAACUGGAUGCAGCGACGCCGCGUGAGGGAUGACGGCCUUCGGGUUGUAAACUCUUUCAAUAGGGACGAAGCGCAAGUSACGGUACCUAUAGAAGAAGGACCGGCCAACUACGUGCCAGCAGCCGCGGUAAUACGUAGGGUCCGAGCGUUGUCCGGAAUUACUGGGCGUAAAGAGCUCGUAGGUGGUUUGUCACGUCGUUCGUGAAA
rnacentral:rRNA from 1 species